AAUUGCAUUUAAAAUAUUCUUAUUUGAAAUAGCCUUAUAUUUUUGUCAAGUCAGUUAGUAUUGCAUCUUUGUUUAUUUUUUCUUAUAACAUUUAAAAUGAAUGAUGCUGCUUAUUCAUUUUCUCUGACUACCUUCUCUCCUUCUGGAAAGUUGGUUCAGAUCGAAUAUGCUUUACAGGCCGUCGCACAAGGGGCUACUUCCUUAGGCAUAAAAGCCAAGGAUGGUGUCGUUAUUGCUUGCGAAAAAAAGCUCCAUCAGCUAAUAAUCGAAGACAGUGUUCAAAAGAUAGAAAGUGUAACAGAUAACAUCGGAAUGGUCUAUUCAGGCAUGGGCCCAGACUUUCGCGUUUUAGUUCGAAAAGCUCGUAAGAAGGCACAGAUUUACUAUCGAUUUCACAAAGAGCCUAUUUCAGUUAUUGGUCUUGUCAGGGAAGUAGCUGCUAUUAUGCAGGAAUAUACACAAACGGGCGGAGUAAGGCCCUUUGGGGUUUCCAUAAUGUUUGCUGGCUGGGAUGAUCUGGGACCACAGCUGUACCAGGUUGAUCCCUCUGGAUCAUAUUUUCCAUGGAAAGCAUCUGCCAUUGGAAAAGGAAUGGUUCAAGCUAAGGGGUUUCUUGAGAAGAGGUACCAUGAGGACAUUGAGGUUGAAGAGGCUAUCCACAGAGCACUGUUAACUUUGAAAGAAGGGUUUGAUGGUCAGAUUACAAAGCAAAACGUAGAAGUUGCUGUUAUACGUGAAGACCGAAUUUUUACAUCAUUAACUCCUCUCCAAAUCAAAGAUUAUUUGGAAGACGAUGUCAACUAACCCCAGAUGUUCAGAGUUCAAUAGACCUGACAGAAGUUUGUACUUACACAAAACAAAUCAUAAACGAAUACAAUGUUUAACACAAAUUUCCCUCAACGUUGUACCAAAUAAUUAUUUAAGAUUUGUUUCUAACUUGUGUUUUCUAAGCGCAUAAAAUUGUGUUCUUAGUUCAUACUAAGGUAAAAAUCUUUACUCACAUCUCUACAAAAAUCUUAAGCAUUUUAGGUAUAAUCAUAGAUCAAUUGAGGACAAAAUAGCAAAUUGUUUUUGCGAAGUACAGCUUAAUAUCAAAUCUGUAGAAUUGUAAAUUUAGUUAACAGUCAAAUUCUACUACAUAUAACAAAAAAAAACCUUGUUCAACUCAUAUUAAUCUGUAACUCUGAAGCAUUCAUAUAGAGGUGCAGAGCAAUCCAGUUCGUUUAGUUUUGGAUCACAAAAUGAAGUCUAGUACAUCCAAGUUAUUUACGUGCAUGCUCAUUCUGGCUUAUAUAACCAAAUAUGUUAUAGCGGCCGCGGACAAUGCUGGAGUGUCUAGUCUACCUGUUGUUUCAGACAAUGCAUCUGCUACCAGUGCAACCCAACCCACAAGUUCAGCUAACUUACCCCAACAACCGAGUAAUACUACUGUACAGCAAAAUUCUAGCCAGCCAGAACGUCCUGGAAGCGAUAGCCAAGUUAAACAACAAGUACCAGUACUAGAUCCCAAAAAUCCGCAUCCAUUUGGAGGUUUGGUGCCAAUUUUAGAAUGUGUUGAUUUUGAAGCAGAUGGAACAACUGUUGCCUACUUCGGAUAUAAUAAUCCCAACCCCAACGAAGUAAUGGUGCAAACGGGAAAAUACAACCAAUUUACCCCUGAGCCUGAGGCUCGAAGCCAAACAGUCAUAUUUUCCUCUGGUAGGUCUUUCCCUUACCCUGUAUCGGCUUUCCAUGUCAGGUCUUCACAAAAAAGCUAUUACUGGCAGCUUAAUGGCUAUCAAGUUUUAGUUGAUGAAAAUUCCAAUCGAUGUAGGAAAGAUUGGAUUUGCAUUUACAUCGAUCUCUCACAUCCUUUGAAUGUUGAUCAACAGGUAUUAGCACGUAUCCUGUCCUCCACAUCUAUUAUCAUGGGUAUUGGAGAGAAUCACAUAAACUUGCACACAGCAAAACAAUCAUCUAGCCUCACUCGUAUUGUUGUUAAUGUAACGCGGAGUGCUGAGAAUGAUGAUUCCGUCAUUGAUCCUUCCGAAAGUGUUAGCAGAUUGUUCAGGGACAACAAUUUAUACUCGCAAUACAUAACGUUGUUAAGAGGCUCUUCACACAUGAAUCCAGUGUUAGUUCGCCCUAGUUCUACUGGACUCGAGAAAAUAGGAGUUGAAGUGGGGAAGCCAAUGUCCAUCUUUGAAUCUAAUAUUGAAACAAAUCCCAAUAGUGCUAAUAAUAAUGCAGGCAAUAGCGUUGUCACAUCUAAUUCCUCAGGUAAUAGCAAUAAUACAUAUGGUAAAAACCCUGCUUCCCCAUACAGUAGUGAUAGCAACGUUAAAAAUGGUAGCAUGUCUGCUUUUUCAAACAACAGCACAAGUGGAAAUAAUACGAACUAUAGUCCUGGCAAUUCUAAAAUACCUACAACUGCAACCCCUUCUACUUCACAGAACGGAAUAGUUCUUUCGAACUCUGUAGAUGCUAACACUCCAAUAACAAGUGCGAAUACUGAUGAUCCGGUAAAAAGUAAUAGUGCCCAAGGCAUUACAACUACUACAGGUACUACAGGCACUACAUUAGUAGCAUCAUCUGUGGCUGGUGGCUUCACAUAUGGAGGUCUUAAAAUUUUAAUUGCCAGCGUGUUUGCGAAUAUUCUGUUGCAGCAGUUGUGCAUAUAGGACAGAUUUAACUGAUAAAAACGUUAGUAGAGCUUGACUUUUCUACAUAAAUCCAGAAA